rnacentral:rRNA from 1 species
AACGAACGCUGGCGGCAGGCUUAACACAUGCAAGUCGAACGCCCCGCAAGGGGAGUGGCAGACGGGUGAGUAACGCGUGGGAAUCUACCCAUCCCUACGGAACAACUCCGGGAAACUGGAGCUAAUACCGUAUACGCCCUUAGGGGGAAAGAUUUAUCGGGGAUGGAUGAGCCCGCGUUGGAUUAGCUAGUUGGUGGGGUAAAGGCCUACCAAGGCGACGAUCUAUGGCUGGUCUGAGAGGAUGAUCAGCCACAUUGGGACUGAGACACGGCCCAAACUCCUACGGGAGGCAGCAGUGGGGAAUAUUGGACAACGGGCGCAAGCCUGAUCCAGCCAUGCCGCGUGAGUGAUGAAGGCCUUAGGGUUGUAAAGCUCUUUCACCGAUGAAGAUAAUGACGGUAGUCGGAGAAGAAGCCCCGGCUAACUUCGUGCCAGCCGCCGCCGUAAUAC